AUGUAUCUUUUACACCCAAGUAACCUUUGCCCUAAUAAGGUUUAUGCAUGUAAUCUGCUUAGUGGCAGCAUAGGUGCUGUUGGAUCUAUUAUUGUCUGGCACUUUACUCAUGUGUAGUGGGCACUGUUGAUGUACCUGGCUUCUCUGAAAUGGAACUAAGUUAUCGGCUACAGAAAACAAAAUCUGUCUAACCCAUUGAUGAUUCUAAAAGGUCUUUGUAAUAUCUUUUAUGUGAUUGUAAAAAGGAUGGGCAUUCAGAAGACGAGAUAGACAAAGGCUUGAGGUGGCGGUUACGUUUAGUUUCCGUGUUGUCUUUUCCAACUUAACUGAGAUGAGAGCACUUUUGAUUGGUCUUGGACCAUUGCAAUUGAACUACUGAACGGAAGAUGGUGGCCGUUGAAUCCCAAAAAUAGGAACGAUAGUGCUAGCGGUUGUGUUAAACUGGCGAGCAAAGAUGAAGGUUGUGGUUGGAUCUGAUGUGAUAGCUCAGAUGACUUCACACAAUUGCGGUGAUGCUCCAAUUCGAAGAUGUCGUGAUUAGACGUCGUUGAGUUAACAAGAUGGUGAUGCUAUCUGGUCAUGGAUGUUACUUUUGCCAGAAGAUGCAAUAUUUGCAAGUUUGGUUCGAUGAUGAUUUUAGAACCAUUUCAAACUGAAUUGAUUCACAUGACGGUGUGUUUCUUUUUUAUAUAUAAAAAAAACUUUCAUCAAAGUGGUUAUAACGAUUUAUUUGAUUCUCAAUGAUAGCCAUUUAAGCAAGAUCGGUUACGACACUUGAUAAAAUGAAACGGAUUAUU
rnacentral:lncRNA from 1 species